rnacentral:rRNA from 1 species
GACGAACGCUGGCGGCGUGCCUAAUACAUGCAAGUCGAACGAGAGCGACCGGUGCUUGCACUGGUCAAUCUAGUGGCGAACGGGUGAGUAACACGUGGGUAACCGGCCCAUCAGAGGGGGAUAACAUCCGGAAACGGAUGCUAAAACCGCAUAGGUCUUCGAACCGCAUGGUUUGAAGAGGAAAAGAGGCGCGAGCUUCUGCUGAUGGAUGGACACGCGGUGCAUUAGCUAGUUGGUGAGGUAACGGCUCACCAAGGCCGUGAUGCAUAGCCGACCUGAGAGGGUGAUCGGCCACAUUGGGACUGAGACACGGCCCAAACUCCUACGGGAGGCAGCAGUAGGGAAUCUUCCGCAAUGGACGCAAGUCUGACGGAGCAACGCCGCGUGAGUGAAGAAGGUUUUCGGAUCGUAAAACUCUGUUGUUAGAGAAGAACAAGUGCUAGAGUAACUGUUAGCGCCUUGACGGUAUCUAACCAGAAAGCCAGGGCUAACUACGUG